rnacentral:rRNA from 1 species
UACGUAGGGUGCAAGCGUUAAUCGGAAUUACUGGGCGUAAAGCGUGCGCAGGCGGUGAUGUAAGACAGUUGUGAAAUCCCCGGGCUCAACCUGGGAAUUGCAUUUGUGACUGCAAGGCUAGAGUACGGUAGAGGGGGAUGGAAUUCCGCGUGUAGCAGUGAAAUGCGUAGAUAUGCGGAGGAACACCGAUGGCGAAGGCAAUCCCCUGGACCUGUACUGACGCUCAUGCACGAAAGCGUGGGGAGCAAACAGG